UACGUAGGGGGCUAGCGUUAUCCGGAAUUACUGGGCGUAAAGGGUGCGUAGGUGGUUUCUUAAGUCAGAGGUGAAAGGCUACGGCUCAACCGUAGUAAGCCUUUGAAACUGAGAAACUUGAGUGCAGGAGAGGAGAGUAGAAUUCCUAGUGUAGCGGUGAAAUGCGUAGAUAUUAGGAGGAAUACCAGUUGCGAAGGCGGCUCUCUGGACUGUAACUGACACUGAGGCACGAAAGCGUGGGGAACAAACAGG
rnacentral:rRNA from 1 species